UUAUCGGAGAGUUUGAUCCUGGCUCAGGACGAACGCUGGCGGCGUGCCUAAUACAUGCAAGUCGAGCGGACAGAUGGGAGCUUGCUCCCUGAUGUUAGCGGCGGACGGGUGAGUAACACGUGGGUAACCUGCCUGUAAGACUGGGAUAACUCCGGGAAACCGGGGCUAAUACCGGAUGGUUGUUUGAACCGCAUGGU
rnacentral:rRNA from 2 species